UGACGCCUCUUAGGGGUAUGGA
rnacentral:snRNA from 1 species